rnacentral:rRNA from 1 species
AGUGAACGCUGGCGGUAGGCCUAACACAUGCAAGUCGAACGGCAGCACAGUAAGAGCUUGCUCUUACGGGUGGCGAGUGGCGGACGGGUGAGGAAUACAUCGGAAUCUACUUUUUCGUGGGGGAUAACGUAGGGAAACUUACGCUAAUACCGCAUACGACCUACGGGUGAAAGCAGGGGAUCUUCGGACCUUGCGCGAUUGAAUGAGCCGAUGUCGGAUUAGCUAGUUGGCGGGGGAAAGGCCCACCAAGGCGACGAUCCGUAGCUGGUCUGAGAGGAUGAUCAGCCACACUGGAACUGAGACACGGUCCAGACUCCUACGGGAGGCAGCAGUGGGGAAUAUUGGACAAUGGGCGCAAGCCUGAUCCAGCCAUACCGCGUGGGUGAAGAAGGCCUUCGGGUUGUAAAGCCCUUUUGUUGGGAAAGAAAAGCAGCAGGUUAAUACCCCGCUGUUCUGACGGUACCCAAAGAAUAAGCACCGGCCAACUUCGUG